UUCGUUUCCUGUUUCCCAAUCUUUAGAGGAGGUUUUUGCUUUCUUUCUUUCCCCUGAAAACCUCUUCUCCUUCCCCUCCUCCGUCAACGUCCACCAGCUCACGGCGGAGCUCUGUCAUUUCAUUUCUCUUCCCGCGGAAGAGCACAUUAACCGAGUGUUUCUUUUUAUUUAAGACAAAGCCUCGACGGAUACGAAUUGUUCCCGGAGGAUCUUUGAGCUAACAUUUAAUUUUGUUGAUAUGUCGUAAUUUGGGUGGGGAAAAGAGAGCUGAAAUUGAUCGAAUAUUUCGAAAUUCGUGGGGGGUUUUUUAUUCGGGUGGUGUGGGAGUGGGAGAGAAGUCCUCGUCGGUUAUUGGCUCCAGCGGCCGGUGUCCGUCGUAGAUCAGCGAAACGACGGCGCGAGUCUGCGGCGUCGUUUCAUUGUAACAGAAAGUUGUGGGACGAGAUGUGUGCGGCGACGGCAAC
rnacentral:lncRNA from 1 species